AUAUCAAUAAGCGGAGGAAAAGAAACCAACCGGGAUUGCCUCAGUAACGGCGAGUGAAGCGGCAACAGCUCAGAUUUGAAAGCCGAGUCCUCGACUUUGCAUUGUAAUCUGAAGAGGAAAUCUCGCGAACGAUUAGUCUCAAGUCUCCUGGAACGGAGCGUCAUGGAGGGUGAGAAUCCCGUGGAGAUGAAAUCCGACGCAUGUGAGAUUCCUUCGACGAGUCGAGUUGUUUGGGAAUGCAGCUCUAAUUGGGAGGUAAAUUCCUUCUAAAGCUAAAUAUCGGCUGGAGACCGAUAGCGCACAAGUAGAGUGAUCGAAAGAUGAAAAGCACUUUGAAAAGAGAGUCAAACAGCAC
rnacentral:rRNA from 1 species